GUAAAUUCCACUUGGCUGAGUCUCACUGAUCAAAGUAAAGGGUCAUCAGGAAAAACAAAUCCUGGGUCUUGGGAACCACUUCAGGUCCCCAGCUGAGGAGGACUCCAGCCUCUGAAACCUGCACCUGCCCCAAGCUGAAGUCAACUCCUGCUUUUUCUGUGUCCCUGUCAAGUCUCUCUCAAAGUGCUGCAGUGAGACGUGAACAGAGGAGCCACCCCACCUGCCUGGUCCAACCCCUGCUUCUUACCAGGAGUGGAUCUCCUGCCCGCCCUGGGCAGCUCAUGCUCUGCUCAGAGGGAAUGGCUCACUGUGGGCUCAUCAGCUCCUAUCAGCGGCCAAUCUGGACUUGAGAAGACCUGCAGAGGCUCCUGAUUUGAUUAAGAUGAACCA